rnacentral:misc_RNA from 1 species
GAUGAAGAACGCGGCGAAAUGCGAUAAGUAAUGUGAAUUGCAGAAUUCAGUGAAUCAUCGAGUUUUUGAACGCAUAUUGCGCCCUCUGGUAUUCCGGGGGGGAUGCCUGUUCGAGCGUCAUUAAAUAACCCUCAAGCAUAGCUUGGUGUUGGGUUUUUUUACGUCCUUGACUGGGAUGGGCCUAAAAAUUAGUGGCGAUGGCUUUUUUACUUUCAAGCGUAGUAAAUCUCGUCUUGCUAAAGAGGAAAAAGAUUUUUUUUCUGCCAAAAAUUUUAACAUUUAAAGUUGACCUCGGAUCAGGUAGGAUUACCCGCUGAACUUAAGCAUAUCAAUAAGCGGAGGA